rnacentral:rRNA from 1 species
GACGAACGCUGGCGGCGUGCGUAACACAUGCAAGUCGAACGAGAGAGUGAGAGAAGCUUGCUUUUCUUACGAUCGAGUGGCAAACGGGUGAGUAACGCGUAAACAACCUGCCCCGCAGAUGGGGACAACAGCUGGAAACGGCUGCUAAUACCGAAUACGGUCCUCUUAGCGCAUGGUAAGAGGAAGAAAGGGUGGCCUCUGGAACAAGCUACCGCUGCGGGAGGGGUUUGCGUCUGAUUAGCUGGUUGGAGGGGUAACGGCCCACCAAGGCGACGAUCAGUAGCCGGUCUGAGAGGAUGAACGGCCACAUUGGAACUGAGACACGGUCCAGACUCCUACGGGAGGCAGCAGUGGGGAAUCUUCCGCAAUGGGCGAAAGCCUGACGGAGCAACGCCGCGUGAGUGAAAGACGGCCUUUCGGGGUUGUAAAAGCUUCUGUUAUAAGGGGACGAAACGGCCCGGGUA